AGCUCCAAUAGCGUAUAUUAAAGUUGUUGCAGUUAAAAAGCUCGUAGUUGGAUUUGGGACGGGGGUCGCGCGGUCGGCCGCGAGGUCUGUUACUGUGCGGCCCCGUCAUUUGCACUCUCGGUGACCCGUCGUGCACUUCGCUGUGCGCGGCGCGGGACUCGGGACGUUUACUUUGAAAAAAUUAGAGUGUUCAAAGCAGGCUCUGCCAGCCCGGAUACAUGAGCAUGGAAUAAUGGAAUAGGACCGCGGUUCUAUUUUGUUGGUUUCUACGACCGCAGUAAUGAUUAAGAGGGACAAUUGGGGGCGUCCGUAUUUCGUUGUCAGAGGUGAAAUUCUUGGAUUUACGAAAGACGAACAACUGCGAAAGCAUUCGCCAAGAGUGUUUUCAUUAAUCAAGAAC
rnacentral:rRNA from 1 species